rnacentral:lncRNA from 1 species
UAAAAUUACGUUGUAUUGAUGUUAAAAUAGAGCGACUGAAAAAUAACUAGUAGUGUGACAAGGUAUGGUAGACAUAAUUUCACCUAUAUUCAAAAAAAUGUAAAUAAAAAAUCAUAAUUAACAAAAUAAAUAAUGUAACAAAGAAUAAAUUAAACAUAUAUAGAAAUACAAAAUAAUGUGUAUACAAAAUGAAUAAACUUAGUUAAAAGUAUAUAGCAAUGGUGUUAGGCAGGUGGGUCAACGCUAGCAAACACACGACCGCCCAUUCAACCACCCAUACAUACAGACGAACGUAUCGAUUCCCCACCCGCAAAUUCAUCUCUACCCCUAUCGCUGCCGCCAACGACCAAGCCCUCGACCGCCGUCUUCGUGUAUGACUCCACACUUUCGCCGUCUCCGUCUCCACCUCCACCGUCGUCCUCGUCGUCUUUGCGCCUCCACCGUCACCGUCUCCAUCUCCAUCUGUGCCUCCCAUCAUCUCCAUCACCGUCUUCUUUGCUGCCGCCCCCUCGCCGUGGUCUCCGCCUCCACCGCUGUCGUCAAGGAGCCGUCAGCCCCGUAGUCUCCAUCGUUGGUG